UAACUCCUGCCUUACAGAUCUGGGGACCCUUCACCUGCCUCUACUACUGCAAAUGAUUGGAUAUUCGUCUGACUUGGCUCUUCCCUAAUGUGUGGAACUAAUUUUGUUCACUCUGUUUCAUGCUGGACCUGGCCUGAAAAUGGGCCCUUAUAUUGUCUUUGCACUUUCCAACUUGCCAAGUUUCUGAAAGAAGGACCAAAGUAAUGCCAAGAACUCCCAGAUGAAGAGGACCUUCCUUAGACCUAUAACAGAUUCACUACUUGACUUCAGAGGGAAGUUUCAGCUAAUUCUCAGGAAAAGGUCAAAACAGGCCUGUGACUGUCCCUUGAAUACUGAAGGUAUAAACAAGCUUCUGGCUCCUCCAGGUCAAGCAGAGGAACACUUUUAUUAGAAUGAAGGGUUACUUCUUUGUUAUUCAAACACACACCCACACACAUCCUCUGUAGUCUCCCUAAUGAAAAACCUCAACAGAUGGAGAGCCUGAGCUCCCAAGUCCGCAGGCUGAGAAGAUGCACUUCACUCAAGGGCCAGUGGGCUGGUACAGACUAGGGAAGAGAAAAGGGACAAAGGCUGCUAGUAUAGGUAAUCACUAUCUUUUAAUACUCCUAACACAUAGAAAUUCGAAAAAUCUUGUUCAGCAAUGUUAGCAGCCUGUGAGCCUCGGAAACUAAUUUGGCUGAUGUGUCUCUGAUAGGGAGCUUGGGGCUGCACCAAGGGGAAACAUUCUCCUCCUGUAUUCUCUCCUCUCUCUCGUUUGAAAGCCUGUACAAAGAAAUGGUACAAAUGGAUGGUUAACUUAAUGAUUCCAUCAGAGGCAGAUUUUUCUCUGUCAGGUCCCUGGAUAAGGUGGAGGUCUGAAAGCCAGGAGACAGAAUAUGUACUUAAUCGCCCUUUCUGACCUGCUUACCAGUGACCAGGACUACUCUCCAGGCCUUUCUUCUGCCACUUCCCCAUUCUUCCUGGCUAGUUCAGUUGGGUCUCAGCACUUCAACUCCUGGCUGGAUCCUGAGUUUUUCUUGGUUGCAGGGAAAGCUCUCACUGUCUGCAUCUCCUUCCCCACCCCCACCUCCCGUUUUGCAGCUGGCCAUUCUGGCUGCCUCACAGCUAUCCUGCCUUAAUUCAUAUUUGAUUGCCUGGACAGAACCACCUAGAAUGUCCAGACGACUGCCACCCCUCAGCCAUGGGCCUGAGAUCCUGCCCUGACCCCUUUCUUCAGACCCCAGGAGGACCCACAAUCUCCCUGAUCCCCACCUUCCCCAAAGUAGUCUCUAGGAAAAAAGCAGAGCUGGCUAAGGCCUGAGACAGAGCCAUUUCUUCCCCUUGGGCAAACGAGGUAGACCCUCCCAGAGACCAAUGCCGGAGAGGCCCGGAUCCGAGCUCCCUUUAUAUGGCCUCCCCCAUCACGGAUCCCGUGGGAAAACCUGACACACAAUGGCGCGGCUGCUCCGGGCACCCUCAACCCAGCGCCCUGCGGCAAGGCCUGGAGCAGCCUGGUGGUCUUGGUGCGCUCCCUUUGCCCUCCCCGCAACCCUCUGCGAGCACUCGUCCCAGGAGAGAGACCCUGGCUAGGGUGGAGGUUGCCUCCCGCAAAGGGCGCUGUUGCUGGGGCCUCCCCUCCCCCAUUCUCUUGUUUUUCUGCUUCUGAGACUCGGGAGGGAGGCGGCAGGCGCCUCCGCAGCCGAUAGAGCAGCUAUUGUGACCUUCCCUUGCAGAGCGGGAACCCAGCCGAGUGUGUACCGCCGGCGGUGGCGGGGGAGGAGGCGACUGUGUGUGCAAACCUCAGUCGGAGAGGGGGUGGCGCUGGGAAAUAAAGGUUUGCAACCUCAGGCAGUUGGGCCCUUCAGAGGGCGUUUGGUUGUGUUUAGACUCGGUUGCUUUCUAACACUAAUUGCAGGCUCAAAAGGAGCGGAAUUUAUUGCGAAGGCCAAGGCGGCUUGUUUAUAAUUUAUGAAGUUUUAAAUGGCUGUGCCGCGGGCCCCAACUUUCUCCUGGGCUGGCAGCCGCGCGGAAACGCGCCCUCCCCCGGCUCGCCGCCCACCCCCACCCACGCCCCUCAGAUGAGUCUCACGCCAAUGGCAGGAACAGAUCCGAGCUAUUAGAAGUCUCGGGAACCUCCAGAGAUGACAGAAGGUGGCAGAUUUGGUCCAAGCCCUCACCCCACUCGAGAGGAGGGCGUCGGGGAAAGCUGUGGCUGCCUGGAGAGGGAGCCCCUGAUCCCACACUUCCUUGGAGCCUGAGUGUGAGAGGAAGCUAAUGUCAGCCGGGCUAGACACCGUUUAAAGUCUAAUCCAUGAAACCCUAAGCCGCAAAUGACACUUGGGGCUUUGCAGACACCCGCAGACUCAGCAGAUACUCCUGCGGUAACACACUGUGCUGGAAAACGCCUGGAGCCAUGACACAUUACGUAUUUUUAUUAUUAUUUAUGGUAGGAAGAGGAGAUGAGGGAAAAUCGGGCUGAAUCUAAGCAGCCUGACAAUUCAGCUAGUUAAUAUUUAGCCAGUUAAGAAAGGUGGUUGUAAUCCCUGCAAGGCAGUGAGCUCUCCUUUGAUUUCUCUAAUAGCUUAAAAAAUAAUUUCUUACAAGACAAUUAGAAAUUCUGCCUAUGGAUGC
rnacentral:lncRNA from 10 species